GGGCAUGAGGUGUAACCGGGUGCAUACCACGAUGGCAUCGUGGGGGUAACGGGUUCGAGUCCCGUCAUGUCCACCA
rnacentral:tRNA from 1 species